rnacentral:rRNA from 1 species
UACGUAGGGUGCAAGCGUUAAUCGGAAUUACUGGGCGUAAAGCGCGCGUAGGCGGCUUUGCAAGUCGGGUGUGAAAUCCCCAGGCUUAACCUGGGAACUGCAUUCGAGACUGCAUUGCUAGAGUAUGGGAGAGGGAAGUGGAAUUUCCGGUGUAGCGGUGAAAUGCGUAGAUAUCGGAAGGAACAUCAGUGGCGAAAGCGACUUCCUGGACCAAUACUGGCGCUCAUGUGCGAAAGCGUGGGGAGCAAACAGG